GUUGAGGGGAAUGUUGGCUGGCUCGAAGCUGAUUUUCAGAGAGAGAUAACUUUUUAGAAUAUAAAAAGUAGAGAGAGAAAGAGAGAAUUCUCUGAAAUGCUUCGGACCAGGCUUCAUUCCCCUCAAA
rnacentral:pre_miRNA from 1 species